rnacentral:rRNA from 1 species
GGACCUGACUGCUAUCGGAUUGAUACUAAGCCAUGCGAGUCUUUGUAGUAAUACAAGGCAGACGGCUCAGUAACGCGUAGUCAAUCUACCCUAUGGACGAGGAUAACCUCGGGAAACUGAGAAUAAUACUCGAUAGAACAUUAUGCCUGGAAUGGUUUAUGUUCCAAAUGAUUUAUCGCCGUAGGAUGGGACUGCGGCCUAUCAGUUUGUUGGUGAGGUAAUGGCCCACCAAGACUAUUACAGGUACGGGCUCUGAGAGGAGUGGCCCGGAGAUGGGUACUGAGACACGGACCCAGGCCCUAUGGGGCGCAGCAGGCGAGAAAACUUUGCAAUGUGCGAAAGCACGACAAGGUUAAUCCGAGUGGUUUCUGCUAAAGAGACCUUUUGUCGGUCCUAGAAACACCGAUGAAUAAGGGGUGGGCGAGUUCUGGUGU